rfam:Vibrio sp. CECT 9027 strain CECT 9027T genome assembly, contig: 0005
ACCAGCUCUUACAAAUGAGCUAUUAGAAAGUGAAAAUUAAGUACAAGUGUUAUCCCAGUUUUACUUCGAUAUAUUUCGAUGCUCCGGCGAUUGCUUCUCCUUCAUGAUCCAGAUAAUAGCGUUUGUCACAGCAUUCAUAUACAAUUUAAAAUAUACCGAGGUAUUUCUAUGUCUAAAAUGACUGGUUCAGUAAAAUGGUUCAACGAAACUAAAGGUUUCGGUUUCAUCACUCAAGACAACGGCGGCGAUGACGUGUUUGUUCACUUCAACUCUAUCGUAGCAGACGGCUUUAAAACUCUUGCUGAAGGUCAAAAAGUAAGCUUUGACCUAGAACAAGGUAAAAAAGGCCCUCAAGCAGCUAACGUUGUUGGUCAAUAAGCUCUCAGCUUAUUAAGCCUAAAAGAAUUCGAUGGUGUGGUCUUUGACCGCACCAUUUUU